GACGAACGCUGGCGGCGUGCCUAAUACAUGCAAGUCGAACGGUCUUUUCUACGGAAGCUUGCUUCCACUGAGAAGAUAGUGGCGAACGGGUGAGUAACACGUGGGUAACCUGCCCAUAAGAGGGGGAUAACAUCCGGAAACGGGUGCUAAUACCGCAUAGUUUUCUUGAUCGCAUGAUCGAGAAAGGAAAGACGGCCUUUGUGCUGUCGGUUAUGGAUGGACCCGUGGCGUAUUAGUUAGUUGGUGAGGUAACGGCUCACCAAGACGAUGAUACGUAGCCGACCUGAGAGGGUGAUCGGCCACAUUGGGACUGAGACACGGCCCAAACUCCUACGGGAGGCAGCAGUAGGGAAUCUUCCGCAAUGGACGAAAGUCUGACGGAGCAACGCCGCGUGAGUGAAGAAGGUUUUCGGAUCGUAAAACUCUGUUGUCAGAGAAGAACAAGUCGGAGAGUAACUGCUCCGGCCUUGACGGUAUCUGACCAGAAAGCCACGGCUAACUACGUGCCAGCAGCCGCAGUAACAC
rnacentral:rRNA from 1 species